rnacentral:rRNA from 1 species
AACGAACGCUGGCGGCAUGCCUAACACAUGCAAGUCGAACGAGACCUUCGGGUCUAGUGGCGCACGGGUGCGUCACGCGUGGGAACCUGCCCUUAGGUUCGGAAUAACUCCCCGAAAGGGGUGCUAAUACCGGAUAAUGUCUUCGGACCAAAGAUUUAUCGCGUUUGGAUGGGCCCGCGUUGGAUUAGCUAGUUGGUAGGGUAAAAGCCUACCACGGCGACGAUCCAUAGCUGGUCUGAGAGGAUGAUCAGCCACACUGGGACUGAGACACGGCCCAGACUCCUACGGGAGGCAGCAGUGGGGGAUAUUGGACAAUGGGCGAAAGGCUGAUCCAGCAAGGCCGCGUGAGUGAUGAAGGCCUUAGGGUAGUAAAGCUCUUUUACCCGGGAUGAUAAUGACAGUACCGGGAGAAUAAGCUCCGGCUAACUCCGUG